ensembl:lncRNA
CUAUUAAGGCGUUUGCAGGCCGAGAGAAACCUGAAAACGCACAGAACACAAGAAUGCAUUGGUUAACAGUGUUUUCAUCAAACUAACACGUCAGGAAAGUACAUGUAUCUGUUUUAUGAUGGUAUCAUGAUUUGUGAAUAGUUUUCCAACCUUUUUUGUUCAAACUAAGUUUUGGUGCAAUCUUGACUAUUAAGGCGUUUGCAGGCCGAGAGAAAGCUGAAAACGCACAGAACACAAGAAUGCAUUGGUUAACAGUGUUUACCUAAAACUAGCACCUCAGGAAAGUACAUUCCUCCUUUUCAUGGUGGUAUCAUGGUUUGUGAAUAGUUUUCCAACCUUUUUUGUUCAAACUAAGUUUUUGUGCAUUCAUGACUAUUAAGGCGUUUGCAGGCCGAGAGAAAGCUGAAAACGCACAGAACACAAGAAUGCAUUGGUUAACAGUUGUUUUCAUCAAACUAGCACCUCAGGAAAGUACAUUCAUCCUUUUCAUGGUGGUAUCAUGGUUUGUGAAUAGUUUUCCAACUUUUUUUGUUCAAAAUAAGUUUUGGUGCAAUCUUGACUAUUAAGGCGUUUUCAGGCCGAGAGAAGGCUUAAAAACGCACAGAACACAAGAAUGCAUUGGUUAACAGUGUUUUCCUGAAUCUAGCACCUCAGGAAAGUAGAUGUAUCUGUUUUACGAUGGUAUCAUGGUUUGUGAAUAGUUUUCCAACCUUUUUCGUUCAAACUAGGUUUUGGUGCUUUCUUGACUAUUAAGGCGUUUGCAGGCCGAGAGAAGGCUUAAAAACGCACAGAACACAAGAAUCAUUGGUUAACAGUGUUUUCCUCAAAAUAGCACCUCAGGAAAGUACAUUUAUCUGUUUUAUGCUACCUCUUCUCGUCGGCAGCUGUCUUCAGGUCGUCAGCAAGUUUCAGGCCCCCAGCAGUCUUCUUCAGGCUUGUGCUUCUAUCACGAGAAGUUUGGACCGAAGGCUCUUAAAUGCCGCUCGCCAUGCAGUUUCGGCAGGCUGGGCGAAGGAUCUAAAUUUGCAAGGCCGCCACGCCACUUCCUUUAAAACAACCUUUACCAUAGAGCAUUAUUAUUGUCUGAAGGCAUUUCUGACAAAAUAUGAGAUGGAUCUGAUUAAGUGUGAGGAAGAGGAUGUGAAAGUGCACAACCUCUGACUUCUUGUUACCACUAGGUGGCGCUCUUAUCAUAAUUUUAAAGUGUCACAUUAAUGUCUUAAAAUAAAAUUCUGACACAUGAGAAAUUUGGAGCAGGCUAGACAAAGUACGGCUGAAAAACCUUUUGUUUCAUAGUAAAUGCUGUUUGCCAUUAC